rnacentral:rRNA from 1 species
GGACUACCCGGGUAUCUAAUCCUGUUUGAUCCCCACGCUUUCGGUAUUGAGUGUCAGUGUCUGGCCAGCUACCCGCCUUCGCCUCCGGUAUUCCUCCUGAUAUCUACGUAUUUCACCACUACACCAGGAAUUCUAGUAGCCUCUCCAGCACUCAAGCUCAGCAGUAUCAGAUGCACUUCCUGGGUUGAGCCCAGGGCUUUCACACCUGACUUACCAAGCCACCUACCACCGCUUUACGCCCAAUGAUUCCGAACAACGCUAGGGUCCCUCGUCUUACCGCGGCUGCUGGCAC